rnacentral:lncRNA from 1 species
AUGGUGGUGGCAAGCACUCCACCGGCCGGCUUGGCAACCGGCGUGCUCCCAUGGAGACCGCGGACACAGCGUGGCCUGCAGACACCCGCGGAGGGGCGAGGGCGGCGGGGAAGCGCUCCGAGCCCCGAGGAUGGGAAAGGAUCCAGUGGUGCUGGGACUGACACCCGGCGUCGCAACAGAUCGGGGAUGGGUGCUGGGUUUGAGGACAGGGAUGGAGCCACGUCAUCCCCCGGUGUUGUGGAAAGAGGGGACUGUGGAGGUCCAGAUGGGAUGAGGAACACUCUUGGUCAUGGGUGCUCCCCAAAACCUCCUCGUUCUGGUCUGCGGCAGCAUCUCCUCAGACGCAGAGCCGAGGAGGGUCUCCGGGAAGCCCCGAUGGGUGUCAUCAGGGGUGCAGCCCCUCUGCAGAGGGCAGAGCAGGGAUCCCCCCUCGGGGGUGCAGGGUCACCCCGCCGUUCCCCACCGGCCCUGCGCAGCGGGUACCGGGGGGCACAGCAGGGCUCUGGCAGCCCUGCCCCUGCGCUGGUGCCCACCCGCAGGGGUCCUCACGCCUCUGAGCGGCCCGAAACCCGGCCCUCGUCAGUGUAUCUCCACCACGGGCCAGAACCGCCCCACGGAAGGGGCCCCGUUCCACCGGUGUCCCCCAGCAUCAGGGAAGGCCGUUCGUCUCGGGGGGCGCCUUCUCAGAGGGGAUCACCACACAGAGGGACCCCCGUCCCACACACGGGAGUCCUGCCCCACACAGGGGAGUCCCAUCCCGCAGAGGGACCCCCGUCCCACACAGGGGAGUACCGCCCCACACAGAGGAGUCCAGCCCCACACAGAAGGAUCCCCGUCCCACACAGGGGAGUCCCGCCCCACAUAGAAGGAUCCCCGUCCCACACAGAGGAGUCCCGCCCCACACAGAAGGAUCCCCGUCCGUCCCACACAGAGGAGUCCCGCCCCACACAUAGGAGUCCUUCCCCACACCGAAGGAUCCCGUCCCACACAGGGGAGCCCUGCCCCACACAGGACUCCCCGCCCCACAGCGGCAGAGCCGAACAGCCUGCCCGCGCAGCCCUGCCGGUCGGGAGCAGCGCCCCCUGCUGGCCGCCAUGCGGAACGAACACCGCCCCGUGA